rnacentral:misc_RNA from 1 species
ACAAUUAUUAUUGAGCUCUCCCCCCCUUCACCGGGUGGUAGGUUCUCUAACACUUGUGUGCACUGUUUAUUGUCUCUCGGCGUUCGAGGGUUGGGUAUUUGGAGCUUUGCUCCCGGUGCCCUUGGGCUUUUACGGGCCUUGACCUACCCCUGAGCGCCAACUUAAACUUGAUUUUAUUAUACUAUAAGCCUUUAAUUUUAAAUUUAUAAUUUGAAAA